UAAACCCUAAUGUUGUCUUUACUUAAACAAUCAAGUAAUGUUGACUAAACAUUACUUAAAAUUUUGCAUUUUGGCCCUGUCACUUAAAAAUAUGAGUUAAUUUAACUUAUUUACCUUCAAAAUGCAUCAACUUAAGAUUUCAAGUGUUGUGAGCUCAAAAUCAUGAUUAAUCCUUUGGAGAAACUCAACGUCACUCUGUUCUUUCUUUAAUGUGAUUGGUCAUGCAAGGAAUUCUGCCUAACAACAAGAGAACAAAACCACUGAUUGGUGGAUUACAAAAUUCGUCCUUUUGACUUCGUCUGUUUGGUUGCUGACACAACAUUUCAAGACGGAAGUUUUUCUUCGUGUACUAUGUUGGGUGAUGUGAGAUAAGAAGAUGUGGAAAUGUUUGCAUGUUCAACAGAAUUACGGACAAAAAUCUAUAGCAGGGAUUCUAUGAAAACCUGGACAGACACAGUUCACGGUUCAUGGACCUUUUUAAAACCAGAAGGGGGACUCCUGGUCAGCACUUGUUGAAGGUUUUACAGCAAAUAGAGUCAGACCAGCCAACUGAGGUCUGAACCCUUGUUCUUCGAGGACUGCCUAUCAUGCUCGGAGAUGAAGACUCUUCUUUCUUCAAGUCAUGUCUAGUGUCUGAUCAUCGCAACACUAUCCUUGAUGUGCCAGUGGGGAUCUUAUUCGAGGACACUGAUCUUCAGCCCCCCAACUCCUUGCAUUUGACUUCUUCAAUUGGAAUAAUUCUUGAAGGCCAAGUGGUGAUGGACAAAAUGCAGGACCUCCCACAGGCAAUCGGUCUUCUCUUCGGUCUGAUUUAUGCACUAGACCUGAAUUAC